rnacentral:rRNA from 1 species
GGUUAAGCGACUAAGCGUACACGGUGGAUGCCCUGGCAGUCAGAGGCGAUGAAGGACGUGCUAAUCUGCGAUAAGCGUCGGUAAGGUGAUAUGAACCGUUAUAACCGGCGAUUUCCGAAUGGGGAAACCCAGUGUGUUUCGACACACUAUCAUUAACUGAAUCCAUAGGUUAAUGAGGCGAACCGGGGGAACUGAAACAUCUAAGUACCCCGAGGAAAAGAAAUCAACCGAGAUUCCCCCAGUAGCGGCGAGCGAACGGGGAGGAGCCCAGAGCCUGAAUCAGUGUGUGUGUUA